GCGGAGGAAAAGAAACCAACAGGGAUUGCCCUAGUAACGGCGAGUGAAGCGGCAACAGCUCAAAUUUGAAAUCUGGCGUCUUUGGCGUCCGAGUUGUAAUUUGCAGAGGGCGCUUUGGCAUUGGCAGCGGUCCAAGUUCCUUGGAACAGGACGUCACAGAGGGUGAGAAUCCCGUACGUGGUCGCUAGCCUUUACCGUGUAAAGCCCCUUCGACGAGUCGAGUUGUUUGGGAAUGCAGCUCUAAAUGGGAGGUAAAUUUCUUCUAAAGCUAAAUACUGGCCAGAGACCGAUAGCGCACAAGUAGAGUGAUCGAAAGAUGAAAAGCACUUUGGAAAGAGAGUUAAAAAGCACGUGAAAUUGUUGAAAGGGAAGCGCUUGCAGCCAGACUUGCCUGUAGUUGCUCAUCCGGGUUUUUACCCGGUGCACUCUUCUAUAGGCAGGCCAGCAUCAGUUUGGGCGGUUGGAUAAAGGUCUCUGUCAUGUACCUCUCUUCGGGGAGAACUUAUAGGGGAGACGACAUGCAACCAGCCUGGACUGAGGUCCGCGCAUCUGCUAGGAUGCUGGCGUAAUGGCUGUAAGCGGCCCGUCUUGAAACACGGACCAAGGAGUCUAACAUCUAUGCGAGUGUUUGGGUGUCAAGCCCGAACGCGUAAUGAAAGUGAACGGAGGUGGGAACCUUUCGGGGUGCACCAUCGACCGAUCCUGAUGUCUUCGGAUGGAUUUGAGUAAGAGCAUAGCUGUUGGGACCCGAAAGAUGGUGAACUAUGCUUGAAUAGGGUGAAGCCAGAGGAAACUCUGGUGGAGGCUCGCAGCGGUUCUGACGUGCAAAUCGAUCGUCAAAUUUGGGCAUAGGGGCGAAAGACUAAUCGAACAU
rnacentral:sRNA from 1 species